GAUGAACGCUAGCCGAUAGGCUUAACACAUGCAAGUCGAGGGGCAGCAUUAUUUUAGCUUGCUAAGAUAGAUGGCGACCGGCGCACGGGUGCGUAACGCGUAUGCAACCUGCCUGUAAUUAGGGAAUAACCCGGUGAAAGUCGGACUAAUACCCUAUAUUCUUCUUUCUCCGCAUGGGGAAGGACGGAAAGAUUUAUUGAUUACAGAUGGGCAUGCGUCCCAUUAGCUCGUUGGUAAGGUAACGGCUUACCAAGGCAACGAUGGGUAGGGGGACUGAGAGGUUGACCCCCCACACUGGUACUGAGACACGUGAACCAGACUCCUACGGGAGGCAGCAGUGAGGAAUAUUGGUCAAAUGGGCGAGAGGGCUGAUCCAGUCAAGUCGCCGUGAAAGGAACGACCGGU
rnacentral:rRNA from 1 species